AGGUCUGUGCCUUCGGAGCAGCUGACAGCUUCUUGCACCUGUGGGUCGGGUGAAGCCAGCAGGAGCUGACUUUUCAGGGUCAGUUCAUUACAAUAAUGCAGGGGCAGUGGCUUUGGAAAAGCAUUACUCCAUCAAAGAAAAGUCCUGUGAUCGCCUGAAUACAGAAGUUUAAUGUAAGUCCAGAC
rnacentral:lncRNA from 1 species